ACUUUUCAGAAGCUUUAAGGCACACUGCUUAUGAGCCCGAGCUAUGAGUUCUGCUGUUCUGCCUUCUCUCGCUGCUGCCAAGAGUUCUUCUUCAAGCUUUCUUUGUUGAGUCCUUUCUACAGCUGUGAAAGGAAAGUACAUGUUACUCUACUUCUAGUUAGAUUCCUAUAGCAAAAUCAUUACAAAGAUGUAUGAAUAAAGUGAUCUGGGGUAAAAAAGUCA